UUCAUGACUCCAUAAGAUGUAGUUGGAAAGAAAGACAAAUCUUAAGCAUGUUAAGAUUUGGGGUUAUGUGCUAAUAAGCAAUAUUUGUUUGAUAACAAUCUUGUGGGAUAUCCUUAAAUUAACUAUUGGAUAUCGCUUCUAUAAACCAAUUAACAAAUGUUGUUUUGUUGGGUAGUUCAUUGUAAUCCUACAAUGUGAUUUGCCUAAAAGCAAAUGAACGAGAGAUAGAACUCAAAGAAUUGGUUCUUUGAGAGACAAGAUGAUAAUCAACAAAUAUAACAACCUAGUUCCUAUACCACAAGCUCCAACGUAGUCAAGAAGGAUUUAUAAACCGUCUCGGUUGAAUGGUUUGAACUUUAUGACUAUGUCAUAGAGUUGCACCUCUUAAUUCGAAAGAAAUAAGAAUGAAAAUCCUUAUGACUACAUUGAGUGUAUAUAUAUGAUAUAUACUCAAGGAAAUGGUAAAGUACCAUUUAACCCGAAAUAAUGAAACCUUCAUAAGCUAAUUGGUAGCUUAAGGUAACUACAAUCAAAAGGAUGGUUGACUUUGAAGAAACCAUCUUUGACGUAGUCUUGGUUUCAAUUAAUUCGAAGAUAGCUAGCUACAACGAAAUGGUGAUUCAAUGUUUGGACAUAAUAUGGGUUUCCGAAACCAUUAUUAAGAUAGUCUUGAUAAUAUAUGUCUAAAACUAUAAAUCACAAGACAUGUAAGUUGUAGAGAUCCAUCCAUCAUGAAUCUUAGCAAGCUAGUGGGAGCUAUGAGCAUCUUAUGAGAAAAAGGAUCAAAUCGUUUGAUUUCUCAUAAAGAUGUAAAUGAAUCUUUUGUUUACUAGGUUUACAAAAGAUUAGUGGGAGUUAAUCAUGUUCCUAAAAUUUAAAUAUAUAUGAUAUAUUAAUUUUGGAAAUGAAAAGAAUACUUCUUCGUUAAAGUUAUGACUUUAAACAUUCUAUAACGAUAGAAUGUAUAUGGGAGUUAAUCAUGUUCCUAAAAAUUUAAUAUAUAUGAUAUAUUAAUUUUGGAAAUGAAAAGAAUACUUCUUCGUUAAAGUUAUGACUUUAAAACAUUAUAUGAAGAUAGAAUGUAUGUGGGAGAUAUAGUCUAUAUACAUGGGAUGGAAAUCUAUAAUGAUAUAUUUCAUGAUAUAAUUGGAUUAUAUCAAUCCCUAAUAAUAGAUAAUAGAUGCUAGGAAGUUUCUCAUAUGAUGAUAAACUUCAAUUAGAAGGACAACUCUAGUGAGACUAAGAAGUUGCUCUUCUCAAAGAGAACGUACUCUUUGACUCCCAGAGAAAUAAUGCGUAAAUAGAAUCCUUUAUGCGUAUGCAUAAAGGGGAUUUAUGUAUUUCAUAUUGUAUGAAAAAUAUUGAUAUGAGUUGUACCUAGAACGGUACAAGACGAUAUCAGUGCAAGCCCAGGAUCAGAACCAUGGCAACUGUCAAGUGAGUCCUUAAGUAUUUAAGAAAUACUAAAGGAUAGAUUCCUCAAAGAAUGAGGAAGAAUUAGAGUAACGUAAAGGAAGCGUAAAUGUAUUAGAUUAUGAAUCUAAUCCAUCAUUGGAUGUUUCUUCAUUAUGAAUGAAGAGAUAAUCAGAUAUCUCUUUAUUAUGACUAAAGAGAUAUUUAGAUGGAAACAUUAAAAGUAAUGACUUUAGUGUGUUCCAUUAUGAAUGCAAAAUAUAUUGCCAUAUAGAAGCUUACAACAAUGUUGUUUGGAUGGGAAAGUUCAUUUAUGAACUCUCUAUUCGGUUCCAACCAGAAAGUGUAUCUAGUGUACUGACAUUAUGACACUAAUGGGGCGAUAGCUCAAGCUAGGGAAUCAAGGUCUCAUCAAGAUCCGAACUCAAAUGAGAGACUGAACCACAUGAUUGAGAAUCAUGUAUAAUGGUGACGUCGUUAUUCUCAAGGUUGCUUCUAUGGAUAACAUAUAGAUAUCCAUUGUCUAGCCCUACUAUUUAGCCAUUUAUGAAAUGACUACAUAAGAGGUAUCAUCACUGAUGACUAAGCUGAUUGGCUUUAGUGCAAGUGGGAGAUUGUUGGAAAUGUGCCCUAAAACCAAUCAUAUGAUGAUACUUUACGGACAUUUCACAUGUUAAACUAAUCUAGUUUAAUAUCAAGGGCAAAGAUUAUUGUUUGAGCCGUCUCAUAUAAAUGUUAUAUGCUUAAACGAUAAGUCCAAAGGAAUAUGUGAUUGAGAUAAUGCGAUCUAAAGAAGUUAGAUUCAUGAGACCAUUCUUUCUUAGACACAUCCUAAACGUUCCUGAUCAUAGGAUUGCCAAUUGGGCAUUGACAGUCCAUUAAGAUCAGUACGUGCUGUGUAUUCUCUCAGGGAGAGUGACUAGUCUCGAGUCAUUGGUGUGUGUGACAUCAAGACAAGUACGUAGGUGCUCAAUAGAGAAUGAGUUCAUUGAACACGAUCAACGAAGAGUUCUCAUAUUCAUGUCACAUGAGAACUCAUGGUUGGGAUAAUGCAAAGUAGUCCUUUGACCUGAGGCAUCACGUUUGUCUUGUGGUUAAGUACUUGAUCUUUGAUUAUGUCAAAGUCACUCCAUCAGGAGGGUGUCCACGGCAUCGUUAGGGUUAAGCCACUUAGCUAUGGAGGCAAGUGAAUGCGCAACAAGGGAUCUCUAACCUUCAAACCGUUUGGGG
rnacentral:lncRNA from 1 species